rnacentral:lncRNA from 1 species
GCCUGUAAUGUUUGUUCAAAAUAAUAAUAAUUUUUUAUUACAAUGAUUUUAUAUAUUAGGUAGAUGCCCAUUCUGUUCCUAUUUUCAAAAAUUUAUUAUAUCUAUGCAAUGCCUUUGCUUAGGUUGAAGAAUGGAAUAAAAGUCUAGCAUCAAAUGUAUAGCUAACUAUUUUAAUUUGUGAUCAGAGCAACGGAUCUCCGUUCAAUUUUUAUCAUCAAAAGUUAGUUCUACCUUCGCAGGACCUCUGCUCUACAUACCUCCUCUCUGGUUAAAGAAUGGAAUAUAAGUCUCAUUUAUCAAGUUGGUGUAAAAUUUUAGCUUGAUAAAUUAAGAAGUUGUAAACUUUAUUAUCACAAUUGCCAAGUUGACCAAAUGUUCUUCUGGUUUUAAAUGUAUGAGUCUAGUAUCAUCUGGGUGUUCAAAGAUAGUUUACUGCUUGAAGAACUUAUCAAUGGACCAACUAAUUAUAAAACAGUUUUUAAUGAAAAUAAAAACGAAUUAUCAAAAGAUUUAAAUCAGCUAUUUGUGUAUAUUUAAACACUUUAUUUUUUGUUAGAAGAGAUUAUUGAUACAAGUA